rnacentral:rRNA from 1 species
CCUACGUGUGGCUGCAGUCGAGAAUCAUUCACAAUGGGGGAAACCCUGAUGGUGCGACGCCGCGUGGGGGAAUGAAGGUCUUCGGAUUGUAAACCCCUGUCAUGUGGGAGCAAAUUAAAAAGAUAGUACCACAAGAGGAAGAGACGGCUAACUCUGUGCCAGGAGCCGCGGUAAUACUGAGGUCUCAAGCGUUGUUCGGAAUCACUGGGCGUAAAGCGUGCGUAGGCUGUUUCGUAAGUCGUGUGUGAAAGGCGCGGGCUCAACCCGCGGACGGCACAUGAUACUGCGAGACUAGAGUAAUGGAGGGGGGACCGGAGUUCUCGGUGUAGCAGUGAAAUGCGUGGAUGUCGAGGGGAACACUCGUGGCGAAGGCGGGUUCCUGGACAUUAACUGACGAUGAGGCACGAAGGCCAGGGGAGCGAGAGGGAUUAGAUACCCUGGUAAUA